AACGAACGCUGGCGGCAGGCCUAACACAUGCAAGUCGAACGCUCCAGCAAUGGAGAGUGGCAGACGGGUGAGUAACACGUGGGAACCUUCCCUUUGGUUCGGAAUAGCCCAGGGAAACUUGGGGUAAUACCGGAUAAGCCCUUACGGGGAAAGAUUUAUCGCCGAAGGAUGGGCCCGCGUCGGAUUAGCUAGUUGGUGGGGUAACGGCCUACCAAGGCGACGAUCCGUAGCUGGUCUGGGAGGAUGAUCAGCCACACUGGGACUGAGACACGGCCCAGACUCCUACGGGAGGCAGCAGUGGGGAAUAUUGGACAAUGGGCGCAAGCCUGAUCCAGCCAUGCCGCGUGAGUGACGAAGGCCUUAGGGUUGUAAAGCUCUUUUGGCGGGGAAGAUAAUGACGGUACCCGCAGAAUAAGCUCCGGCUAACUUCGUGCCAGCCGCCGCAGUAAUAC
rnacentral:rRNA from 1 species